AUUGAACGCUGGCGGCAUGCCUUACACAUGCAAGUCGAACGGUAACAGGUCUUCGGAUGCUGACGAGUGGCGAACGGGUGAGUAAUACAUCGGAACGUGCCCGAUCGUGGGGGAUAACGAAGCGAAAGCUUUGCUAAUACCGCAUAAGAUCUACGGAUGAAAGCAGGGGACCGCAAGGCCUUGCGCGAACGGAGCGGCCGAUGGCAGAUUAGGUAGUUGGUGGGAUAAAAGCUUACCAGGCCGACGAUCUGUAGCUGGUCUGAGAGGACGACCAGCCACACUGGGACUGAGACACGGCCCAGACUCCUACGGGAGGCAGCAGUGGGGAAUUUUGGACAAUGGGCGAAAGCCUGAUCCAGCCAUGCCGCGUGCAGGAUGAAGGCCUUCGGGUUGUAAACUGCUUUUGUACGGAACGAAAAGACUCUGGUUAAUACCUGGGGUCCAUGACGGUACCGUAAGAAUAAGCACCGGCUAACUACGUG
rnacentral:rRNA from 1 species